AUGUCACGCGCCACGCACGAUAUGGACGGCAACGCCGCCCCUGACGCCUACGCCAGGUACGAGGCGAUCGCUUCCUCCCUCCCGACGUCGGCGUGCCAGGGCCUGGGGGCCGCCGCGUACAAGAACCACCGCGGCUUCUGGUACCCGGCGCACCAAAUGUCGCCGACGCUCGCCGCGCGGGACACCUUCGUCGCCCGCCCCACCGACAUCCUCGUCGCCACCCUGCCCAAGUCCGGCACCACGUGGCUCAAGGCGCUCGUGUUCGCCGUCGCGUACCGCCGCACGCACACGCCAGCACUGGAGGACGGCGCGGGGCAGCGCCGCCACCCGCUCCUGGGCUCCAGCCCCCACGACCUCGUCCCAUUCCUGCACUACGUCUACGAGAAGCACCAGUCGGCCGCGGCGCCGCUCCUGGAGGCGAUGCCGGCGCCGCGCGUGCUGGCCGUGCACGCGCCGCUCUCGGCGCUGCCGGCGUCCGUGGCCGGCUCCGGCUGCCGCGCCGUCUACAUGUGCCGGGACCCCAAGGACGCGCUCGUCUCGCUCUGGCACUACCUCCGCAAAGCCAACCGUCCGGGCGCCACCGCGGCGUCGCUCGAGGAGCUGCUCGCGGCGUUCUGCGACGGCGUCUCGCCGUUCGGGCCGGCGUGGGAGCACGUGGCCGAGUACUGGAGGGAGAGCCUGGCGCGGCCGGAGCAGGUCAUGUUCCUCCGGUACGAGCACGUCAAGGAGGACACGGUGGGGAGCGCGAAGCGGCUCGCCGAGUUCCUCGGCUGCCCGUUCACGGCCGAGGAGGCGGCCGGGGGCGUCCCCGAGGCCGUGGCAGCGCUGUGCGGCAUAGAGCGGAUGAGGAGCGUGGAGGCGAACCGCACCGGCGAGUACGGGGUUCACUGGAAGUUCAGCAACUCGGCGUUCUUCAGGAAUGGGGAGGUUGGGGACUGGAAGCAGCACAUGACGGCCGAGAUGGCGCAGAGAAUCGAUGGCAUCAUGGAUGGUAAGUUGCGGGGCAUUGGCCUCUCGCUUAUCACUGAACCAAAGCAACUUCUGAAUGAAAAUUAA
rnacentral:rRNA from 1 species